rnacentral:misc_RNA from 1 species
AACACUGUUAACCUGCGGUACCUGCGGAGGGAUCAUUAAAGAUUGACCGAAAGGUCUUAUCUCUAUAUCCCUCACCUCUGUGAACUGUGGACCUCCGGGUCUAUUUAACAAACAUCAGUGUAAUGAACGUAUAUAUCAUUAAACAAAACAAAACUUUUAGCAACGGAUCU